CCUACGGGUGGCAGCAGUGAGGAAUAUUGGUCAAUGGACGAGAGUCUGAACCAGCCAAGUAGCGUGAAGGAUGACUGCCCUAUGGGUUGUAAACUUCUUUUAUAUGGGAAUAAAACGUUCCACGUGUGGGAUUUUGUAUGUACCAUAUGAAUAAGGAUCGGCUAACUCCGUGCCAGCAGCCGCGGUAAUACGGAGGAUCCGAGCGUUAUCCGGAUUUAUUGGGUUGAAAGGGAGCGUAGGUGGAUUGUUAAGUCAGUUGUGAAAGUUUGCUGCUCAACCGUAAAAUUGCAGUUGAAACUGGCAGUCUUGAGUACAGUAGAGGUGGGCGGAAUUCGUGGUGUAGCGGUGAAAUGCUUAGAUAUCACGAAGAACUCCGAUUGCGAAGGCAGUUCACUGGACUGCAACUGACACUGAGGCUCGAAAGUGUGGGUAUCAAACAGGAUUAGAUACCCUAGUAGUC
rnacentral:rRNA from 1 species